rnacentral:lncRNA from 1 species
AGAGAUCUUAGUUCAAAGUAUUAGAACAAAUUAACUUAGAAAUAUAGUUAGUAGUCAAAGGGGUAGAAAAAUUAAAAGGUAUCAAUGCUGCCUAUUAGAAAGGUGACUUCUACUUACUUUGUAGUACCAUAAGUAAGGCAAAUCAAAGUAGAUUGGAAAAAUAAAUAAUAUAGACAUCUUUAAAAGGAAGUUAAGAUUAAAUUCUAGAAAAAUUUACUUAGAAAAAUUAGAUAUUAAUACCUAGAGAGGGCCAGUUAUGAACUAGGGUUGAAAUCAAACCCUAGGCCUCAUAACCAAGUCUCGACGAUGGCUCUAAUAUUCUUUUGGAGAUCAAGGAGUGAAGUUUGAUAGCAGACUGAAUAGGCUUUGUAUGAUCAUUGAUUUUAGGUGAUUUGAAGUUGUUAUGACUUUGUAAUUGCUUUGCAAAGUCCACAAUUGUUUCAGAUGACUUGGAUUUUAUGAAAUGAAAUAGGGUUUAUGUUUUGGAAGAUUUCAAGAGUUCUAUAGUAGAUCUACAAAUGAAAAUUUGUGGAUUCAUGGUUAUAGUUGUGUUUAAUAUGUGUCGUGAUUUUGAGUUCGAUCUAAUGGCUGAAUUGAGCAAUAUUGAGGUUUAAGUAGGUCAAGGUCUUAGAAAGUAGAAUUUUAAGUCUAGUAAGGAUUUUUAAGAUUUCUUGCAAUCUAUUAGUUGGAUUGGAAUAAAACUUACAUGAGAGGAUAUGAGACUUGCUUUUCUAUAUGUAUGAGAAUUUUGAGAUCAAUUGAUUGGUGCAAAGGAGAGAUAUUAGCUUUGAAA